CGCGAAUUCGCCCUUCGGGGCGCACCAGGCGCGAAAACUUUACAAUGCGGGAAACCGUGAUAAGGGGACACCGAGUGCCAGCAUCAUAUGCUGGCUGUCCAGGUGUGUAAAAUACACCUGUUAGCAAGGGCCGGGCAAGACCGGUGCCAGCCGCCGCGGUAACACCGGCGGCCCGAGUGGUGAUCGUGAUUAUUGGGUCUAAAGGGUCCGUAGCCGGUUUGGUCAGUCCUCCGGGAAAUCUGACGGCUCAACCGUUAGGCUUUCGGGGGAUACUGCCAGGCUUGGAACCGGGAGAGGUAAGAGGUACUACAGGGGUAGGAGUGAAAUCUUGUAAUCCCUGUGAGACCACCUGUGGCGAAGGCGUCUUACCAGAACGGGUUCGACGGUGAGGGACGAAAGCUGGGGGCACGAACCGGAUUAGAUACCCGGGUAGUCCCAGCCGUAAACGAUGCUCGCUAGGUGUCAGGCAUGGCGCGACCGUGUCUGGUGCCGCAGGGAAGCCGUGAAGCGAGCCACCUGGGAAGUACGGCCGCAAGGCUGAAACUUAAAGGAAUUGGCGGGGGAGCAC
rnacentral:rRNA from 1 species